rnacentral:rRNA from 1 species
AGCAGCCGCGGUAAUUCCAGCUCCAAUAGCGUAUAUUAAAGUUGUUGCAGUUAAAAAGCUCGUAGUUGAAUUUCGGGAUUGGCGCAUCGGUCGUGCCUCACGGGGUAUGAACUGGUGCAGUCAAUUUCUCACCUUCUGGAGAACCGCGAUGUCCUUAAUUGGAUGCCGCGGGGAACCAGGACCUUUACUUUGAAAAAAUUAGAGUGUUUAAAGCAGGCAUUUUUGCUUGAAUACAUUAGCAUGGAAUAAUAAAAUAGGACGGCAUGGUUCUAUUUUGUUGGUUUCUAGGACCACCGUAAUGAUUAAUAGGGAUAGUUGGGGGCAUUAGUAUUCAAUUGUCAGAGGUGAAAUUCUUGGAUUUAUUGAAGACUAACUACUGCGAAAGCAUUUGCCAAGGAUGUUUUCAUUAAUCAAGAACGAAAGUUAGGGGAUCGAAGACGAUCAGAUACCGUCGUAGUCUUAACCAUAAACUAUGCCGACUAGGAAUCAG